AACGUGGCGUUGUUUUUACAAGCGGAUGAAUCAUGAGAUGGCGUAUGAAGCUACUUAAAGGAGAUCGAAGUUAAAGCUAGUUUAUACUUCUCCGUCAGCAAGUUAGCGCUCACACACACACACACACACACACACACACACACACACACACACACACACACACACACACACACACACACACACACACACACACACACACACACACACACACGUGUGUUGAUGGAGAUGUUUUCCAUUUCCACUCUGCUGGUGUGUCAGAGGUAUGAAGCAAUUCUCCACCAGGACAGCAGAGGGCGUAACAUUUUUCUGGUGUAUGCUGCCUUUGUUGUGUCACGUCUCUACAGUGAUGGGAAUAAUAAUAUAAUUAUUUCAGUAAUGAGUAAUCUAAUGAAUUACUAUCUCCUUCUAUCAUAACGCCAUUUCCAUUACUGAUUAGAAAAUGUGUGCGUCACUAAUUCAGCAGCGCGGCGUUGAAGUCGUCAUCAGCUGAUCGGGAGCUAAAGAGGCGGAUGUUUUCAUCCAAGCGCGUCAUGGCCCGUGAAGAACAAGCUGCAGACCGGCAGAUUCGCUGCUGCAGGCGUGAAUCUGCAGCCGUGCCCUUCUUAGCGUGACAGCGGGACGUCCCGAAGUCCUGCUGUAACACUGAUGCAUCAGUCUCAGACGGCAUGGAGCUCAGGUGUUAUUAGAACUACCUGUGUGUGUUUACCACCCAGCUUCAGCUCUUCUGUGGUUGGGUCUGACCCACGUUAGUAAAUGUAAGUCCUCCAUCAGAUCUGUGCCUCUUCUAGUGUCAUUUUAAAGGAUAUUUAUUUAUUUAUUUAACCAUUACUAGAUUACCAGCAGCACAAAGGCUACUAAAGCACACACUGAUGUGAAGCUGGAAAAAUUAGAAUACUGGUUAAAAUUACAUUUAUUGCAGUAAUUUAACUAGACUGAGAGACCAUUUAAAGGCUCAGGAACCGUUACAGGUGUUUCUAUUUGCAAUUAUACAUUUUAGCUGAUCGGGGUUCAAUUCAAUUCAAUUCAAGUUUAUUUAUAAAGCGCCAAAUCACGACAAGAGUCGUCUCAAGGCACUUCACAUAAUAAACAUUCCAAUUCACAGUUCAUUAAGCCAAUCAGAAAUAAUGUUUCCUAUAUAAGGAACCCAGCAAAUUGCAUCAAGUCACUGACUAGUGUCAGUGACUAUACAGCAAUCCUCAUACUAAGCAAGCAUGCAGCGACAGUGGAGAGGAAAACUCCCUUUUAACAGGAAGAAACCUCCAGAGAAUCCUGGCUCAGUAUAAGCAGCCAUCCUCCACGACUCACUGGGGAUCGAGAAGACAGAGCAGGCAGACAAAGACACACACACACACACACACACACACACACACACACACACACACACACACACACACACACACACACACACACACACACACACACACACACA